UGUAGUCUAAGUUCUGAAGGAGACAAUAUAUGUCAGUCCAUGCUGGAUUAAUAGUUUAAUCACAGAAAUGAAGAGAGAGAGAAGGCGUCAUUGGAGGUUGAUGGAGAGAAACCACAAGCUGAACGGAGAGUUGGAGGUAAAGUUGAUGGAGAGAAACCACGUUCCAGAACCCGCUGUCACAAGUGUUGAGGAACGUUUUGUUCCGGAUAGAGGGAUUGGGAAUGCAGAGCGUCAGAAAGAUCGCGUAUGGUGAUGUGGAGAAGCUUGCGACGGUUACACUGAUGGAGAAGUUUGUUCCCACCGUCUCCGGCUCUCAGAAGCUCCUGGCAUCGAUGGACUGCCGUCAGCUCACUCAGGUUCACGGAUUCACCGAUAUUGUGCUCAAACCAAAGUGAAAAACUCUUUCAUUGUGAAGCUUUCUAAUGCUCUCACUUCUCUUGAAGAAUAUUUACUAGAUUGAAAGUCAUUUACACUUAAUAAUAAUUCAGUACCAGUGCUUCCCACAGGUUUGAAAUAUACU